rnacentral:tRNA from 1 species
AGCAGAAUGGCUGAAUGGUUAAAGCAUUGAAUUUAAGUUCCAGUGGAUGAUUAUUUGUAUGGGUUUGCAGUCCCACUUGUGCUA